rnacentral:rRNA from 1 species
UAACCCGGGGAAACCCGAGCUAAUACCAGAUACGGCCGCGAGGUCCUCGGACCUUGCGGAGAAAGAUGGCCUCUGCUUGCAAGCUAUCACUCUUGGAUGGGCCCGCGUCCUAUUAGCUAGUUGGUGAGGUAACGGCUCACCAAGGCUUAGAUGGGUAGCUGGUCUGAGAGGAUGACCAGCCACACUGGAACUGAGAUACGGUCCAGACUCCUACGGGAGGCAGCAGUAGGGAAUUUUGGGCAAUGGGCGAAAGCCUGACCCAGCAACGCCGCGUGUGGGAUGAAGGCCCUCGGGUCGUAAACCACUGUCAGGAGGAAAGAAAAGCCGGACGGAUAAUACCCGGACGGCCUGACGGUACCUCCAAAGGAAGCACCGGCUAACUCCGUGCCAGCAGCCGCGGUAA